GACGAACGCUGGCGGCGUGCUUAACACAUGCAAGUCGAACGGAAAGGCCCUGCUUUUGUGGGGUGCUCGAGUGGCGAACGGGUGAGUAACACGUGAGUAACCUGCCCUUGACUUUGGGAUAACUUCAGGAAACUGGGGCUAAUACCGGAUAGGAGCUCCUGCUGCAUGGUGGGGGUUGGAAAGUUUCGGCGGUUGGGGAUGGACUCGCGGCUUAUCAGCUUGUUGGUGGGGUAGUGGCUUACCAAGGCUUUGACGGGUAGCCGGCCUGAGAGGGUGACCGGCCACAUUGGGACUGAGAUACGGCCCAGACUCCUACGGGAGGCAGCAGGGGGGAAUAUUGCACGAUGGGCGGAAGCCUGAUGCAGCAACGCCGCGUGCGGGAUGACGGCCUUCGGGUUGUAAACCGCUUUCGCCUGUGACGAAGCGUGAGUGACGGUAAUGGGUAAAGAAGCACCGGCUAACUACGUG
rnacentral:rRNA from 1 species